GAGCAGCAAGCAGCAGCCAUGCGCCAGCGUAUGCGCAUGAUGUACAGUACAUCAAUAAUUGACGAGUAGCGGGUGUUAUGAAAUGUACUCCUUGAUUUAUUUUCCAUAGUUUAACAUUAAAAUUGCAUUUAAAUGGAGAUAAACUAUUGUGUAGUAGGAGGUUGUUGUAAUAAGCCUACCAAAAAGCAGACAGUCAAUGAUCUAAGUUUCUUUAGGUUUCCGAAAGAAUCAAAUCUUAGGCAGAAAUGGAUUCGAUUUGUUCAGUUGACCAGGCCGAAAUUCACAAGCCCAGGUAAUGACAGAAUUUGUGAAGAGCACUUUGAUAAAGACUGCAUCAAUCAGACGUGGAUAAUGCAUAAGCAGUUUGGGAUGCAUUAUAGGGACAAACUCAAGAAAGAUUCAUUUCCCACAAUCAUUAAGCAGAAAAAGGUUACACGCACAAGGACUUAUUCUGUUAAACGCCAGGAAAGACAAUUGGUUGAAACUCUUUUGAAAGAAAGUGAAGCCACUCCGGAAGAGAAAGAAAUUGAGGCUACUCAGGGAGGGAGCAAAAGUGCUAUUUCAUCAAUUACAGAAGAUGAUGUAUCAUCUCAUCUAGACUUGUGUCACCCAGACCAAUCUCAUCUAAACUUAUCUUGUCCAACCUCAGUUGUCAUGGACUAUCAAACCAAAAACAUGCAACAGAUCAAAUUUGUGCCAAUUAGUGGCCUAAGUGAUGAUGCAGAUAUGCCAGUAGAUGUAGAUUAUGUCAUUGCUAAACCAUCAGCAACCCACAUUGUGAGAAGUUGAAGAAUUUCCAUGCUAAUUUGUGCGUGAGGCUAUUCCAAGGCAUUUGAAGUAUAUUGGAGUUCAGUGGUUGAAUCCUUGUUGUAGCACCAUUUAAAGUAGUUGAAAUUGCGCAUUUGUAACUGUCGUUGGUCUGCAUUCGCUCAAGACUGAUUUCAUCUUUGCAGUUUCAAAACUAAUGUCCCUAAAAUGAAACAUACUUGGUUACAAUAAUAGAAUAAUGUAUCUAUAUAAAUAAUAGAGACAUAGUAUGCUUUGGUAUAUUUUGAUGAAAGUGAAUUAUUGCGGAAAACUACAAUAAGUAAUAAUAAUUUACUAUAUUUAUAUUGGCUCAUAAAACCAUUAAAUGUUCUUCUUAACACCAGCCUUAUCAAUAACCAGACGUUUCUUAUGUUUCCUAAUGGUGAUUUCAAAUAUUUGCCUUUAAAUAAUACAUAAUAAAUUUAUGUAAUAAGUAACUGGAAGUCGAGGUCCUCAUUAUCAUCGCUCAAAUUGUCUACAGAAACAUCAUCACUAACCUCUUCACUACAGUCAGAAUCUGUAUCAUCAGAAUCACUGCUGGCAAGAUCAUCUACAUCAGAGAAUCAUCAAACUUGAG
rnacentral:misc_RNA from 1 species